UCACAAUAAGAUCUAUAUCCUUAUUUCCUCUUUCCCCUUUAUGGCUUUCUCCGCUCAUCUCUAUCUCUCUUCCUGCAGACCUCAAAACACCUUCGUUCCCCUUUCUCAUAUCUUCCUCUCUUCUAAUCUGCAGACCCGAAAAAAUAAAAUUCUUCCUUCAUCAGUUCUUUACUUAAUAAUUACAUAAACAUUGAUGUAAGUGAUGAAUUUAAUUUCUUUUUUUUCCUCAAUAACAGUUCAGCACAGGUCUGAAAAACCAUAGUUUGAAUCGAAGAGGAAAUGAAUCCUUAUUGGAUUUUUGUUUUUCGAUUCAACUUUUAUUACUUAAGAACUCGUGUUCUUGUGAAAGGAAGAAAAUAUGGUUAUAGCUGAUUUCGAUGGCCAUCUGAUCCCCUAAUUAGAUCGGAGAGGACUGCGAAGAUGAUAUGCGUCGUAAGGAGGGCUUGAAUAAUUGUUGAUGGAUUUAAUGUUGGUGGCGGAAUGGUCUGGUGGUGUUCGGGAUGCUGAUGGUGCUGCUAGUGGUAGUGUUUGGAUGUGCAUGUGUUGGUGUUGCUGCUACCAAAAGGUGGUGGUGGUAUCUUAAUAAUUACAUAAAUAUUGAUGCAAGUGAUGAAUCUUGCAGAUGGUUUAUGUAAUUCUGUAUUUGUUGCCUUGAUUAUCUAAUCUAACAAGAUGAUAAUUGCAUGAUAUUCAUCAACAAUGGCAUAAUAUUUAUAUGACAGCUAGCACCGCUUUCUUUCGGGAGUAUACUGCAAUUACGGAUUUUUGUCUGCCAUACCUUUUCACUAAUCGUCAACAACUGAUUUAUUUGCAUGUACUUUAUUUUUUUUACACUGCAUUUUUCAGUUCUUACAUUGCAUUUUUCUUUCGUUUUGGAUGUUUUUUGGCGAAUACAUUUUUGCUAUCCUCUUGACUCAAGUGUAAAUUAUAGAACUAGAAGUUACGAUGUACAACGGACGGGCUUUAGACUACUUAAUAUUAAUUGUAAUUUUCACAUUUCUACGUGAUAGUCUUUGAACUUAACUUCUGUAUGUUUCCAUUAUCAUGUCUUAGUCUUUCGAAGUUUAGAUAAUUACUAACUUGAGUGUGUGUAUUCAAAUGUUUCAUACCCUUGCUUUGAGUUCCAGAUGAAUGUAUGUAAUCCAACUCAAUCAAUUUUUUUUAAUGCAGGGUCAGUAUUGAGGAACAUAUUAUAAAGAGCACUUCCGGUUUUAAUAGUCGUAGAACUGGAAUUCUUGAGAGCACGAGUUGUUCUAUGCAAUCAUUUAUUACAGCAAUAAGAUUUUUUUUUUGUUAGCUCAUCAAUUGGACGAGCAUUAGAUGCCCUUGGUUCAGUCAGUAAAUCUGAUUAUUAAGUGCUGAAUUCUUAUUAUAUAGCAGGCUAAUACUCCGAAAUUCUCUGACUUCUUCGCUGCAAGUUUUAUUCUUGCUAAAGGUAUUAAGGUGGGAAGUUCACUCAACAAGGCUAUAUUUCGCUAGCAUGAACAAGUAGGAUUGAUCAGCUGGGUGUAAAAAGCAAAGGAGAGAGGUUUAAGAGAAACAACUGUAAAUGGUUCAACUCAAGGUGGUUACACAGGCAGAGAUCUGAAGUGAUGUAUUAUUUUUGUUCAGGUAACAUUUCGAUAUUAAUAUCAAUUUCAAUAUUCAUAUUUGCUUACUACCAGCUGUAACAAUGCUGCUAAUUUCAUGCGAUUGCAACAUAUUUAACUUCCUCUUGUGUUGCAGGAGCAUAGUAGUGUAAUGGAGACUUAUUUUUGCUGCAGGUACUCUAUUAUUAAGUGUAGGCUCAGUUAUCAUUUGGGAGGGGAAUUUAUCAUUCUGCUGGUGAAUCACACUUGUCUUUAAGCUUACAACGUACUAGUUAGAACUUAUACUGAUAUGAAGUAAGGAUUUAAAUCCUUUUUGCGUAAUGAAUGAAUGCCGAAUGAAAAGAAUAUCUUGAAUCUGUGAGUGCAGGUUUCAUUUUAGCUUCAAUGAAUGAAUUUUGUCUUAUUUCA